rnacentral:rRNA from 1 species
AGCGGCGGAUGGGUGAGUAACACGUGGGGAACCUGCCCCUAAGUCUGGGAUACCAUUUGGAAACAGGUGCUAAUACCGGAUAAUAAAGCAGAUCGCAUGAUCAGCUUUUGAAAGGCGGCGUAAGCUGUCGCUAAGGGAUGGCCCCGCGGUGCAUUAGCUAGUUGGUAAGGUAACGGCUUACCAAGGCGACGAUGCAUAGCCGAGUUGAGAGACUGAUCGGCCACAUUGGGACUGAGACACGGCCCAAGCUCCUACGGGAGGCAGCAGUAGGGAAUCUUCCACUAUGGACGCAAGUCUGAUGGAGCAACGCCGCGUGAGUGAAGAAGGUUUUCGGAUCGUAAAGCUCUGUUGUUGGUGAAGAAGGAUAGAGGUAGUAACUGGCCUUUAUUUGACGGUAAUCAACCAGAAAGUCACGGCUAACUACGUGCCAGCAGCCGCGGUAAUACGUAGGUGGCAAGCGUUGUCCGGAUUUAUUGGGCGUAAAGCGAGCGCAGGCGGAAAAAUAAGUCUAAUGUGAAAGCCCUCGGCUUAACCGAGGAACUGCAUCGGAAACUGUUUUUCUUGAGUGCAGAAGAGGAGAGUGGAGCUCCAUGUGUAGCGGUGGAAUGCGUAGAUAUAUGGAAGAACACCAGUGGCGAAGGCGGCUCUCUGGUCUGCAACUGACGCUGAGGCUCGAAAGCAUGGGUAGCGAACAGGAUUAGAUACCCUGGUAGUCCAUGCCGUAAACGAUGAGUGCUAAGUGU